GCAGGCCUAACACAUGCAAGUCGAGCGGUAGAGAGAAGCUUGCUUCUCUUGAGAGAGGCGGACGGGUGAGUAAAGCCUAGGAAUCUGCCUGGUAGUGGGGGAUAACGUUCGGAAACGGACGCUAAUACCGCAUACGUCCUACGGGAGAAAGCAGGGGACCUUCGGGCCUUGCGCUAUCAGAUGAGCCUAGGUCGGAUUAGCUAGUUGGUGAGGUAAUGGCUCACCAAGGCGACGAUCCGUAACUGGUCUGAGAGGAUGAUCAGUCACACUGGAACUGAGACACGGUCCAGACUCCUACGGGAGGCAGCAGUGGGGAAUAUUGGACAAUGGGCGAAAGCCUGAUCCAGCCAUGCCGCGUGUGUUAAGAAGGUCUUCGGGUUGUAAAGCACUUUAAGUUGGGAGGAAGGGCAUUAACCUAAUACGUUAGUGUUUUGACGUUACCGACAGAAUAAGCACCGGCUAACUCUGUGCCAGCAGCCGCGGUAAUACAGAGGGUGCAAGCGUUAAUCGGAAUUACUGGGCGUAAAGCGCGCGUAGGUGGUUUGUUAAGUUGGAUGUGAAAUCCCCGGGCUCAACCUGGGAACUGCAUUCAAAACUGACUGACUAGAGUAUGGUAGAGGGUGGUGGAAUUUCCUGUGUAGCGGUGAAAUGCGCAGAUAUAGGAAGGAACACCAGUGGCGAAGGCGACCACCUGGACUAAUACUGACACUGAGGUGCGAAAGCGUGGGGAGCAAACAGGAU
rnacentral:rRNA from 1 species